ACCCCAUAGCUAGCCAAAACAAGUUUACACACCCUCCAUUAUUAAUCUGAUAUAACACCCCAUCACCUAAAUUUUAAAACAUUUUAUUCUUCCUAGUAUUGGCGAUAGAA
rnacentral:rRNA from 1 species